GAUGAAGAACGUAGCGAAAUGCGAUACGUAAUGUGAAUUGCAAAUUCAGUGAAUCAUCGAGUCUUUGAACGCACAUUGCGCCCCCUGGUAUUCCGGGGGGCAUGCCUGUCCGAGCGUCAUUGCUGCCCUCAAGCACGGCUUGUGUGUUGGGCCCCGUCCUCCGAUCCCGGGGGACGGGCCCGAAAGGCAGCGGCGGCACCGCGUCCGGUCCUCGAGCGUAUGGGGCUUUGUCACCCGCUCUGUAGGCCCGGCCGGCGCUUGCCGAUCAACCCAAAUUUUUUAUCCAGGUUGACCUCGGAUCAGGUAGGGCUACCCGCUGAACUUAAGCAUAUCAAUAAGCGGAGGA
rnacentral:misc_RNA from 1 species